AACGAACGCUGGCGGCAUGCCUAACACAUGCAAGUCGAACGACACCUCCGGGUCUAGUCGCGCACGGGUUCGUAACGCGUUGGAUACUGCCCUUAGGCUUGCCAUAACUCCCCGGAUGGGGUGCUAAUACCGGGUAAAGUCUUCCAUCCGAAGAGUUAUCGCCUUGGGGUGGGCGCGCGUUGUAUUGGCUAGUUGGUAGCGGAAGGCCGACCAAGGAGACGAUCGAUUACUGGCCUGGCAGGGCGACCAGCAACACCGGGACUGAGACACCGGCCAGAACCCUUCGGGAGGGAGCAGUGGGGAAUAUUGGAAAAGGGGCGAGAGCGUGAUAGAGCAAUGCCGCGUGAAUGAUGAAGGGCGUAGGGUAGUAAAGCUGUGUUACCCGGGAGGAUAAUGACAGUACCGGGAGGAUAAGCCCCGGCUAACUCCGUG
rnacentral:rRNA from 1 species